AUACGGAGGGUGCGAGCGUUAAUCGGAAUUACUGGGCGUAAAGCGCGUGUAGGCGGUCGGGCAAGUCGAAUGUGAAAGCCCCGGGCUCAACCCGGGAAUUGCAUCCGAAACUGCUUGGCUAGAGUCCCGGAGAGGAAGGCAGAAUUCCCAGUGUAGGGGUGAAAUCCGUAGAUAUUGGGAGGAAUACCAGUGGCGAAGGCGGCCUUCUGGACGGUGACUGACGCUGAGAUGCGAAAGCGUGGGGAGCAAACAGGAUUAGAUACCCCGGUAGUCC
rnacentral:rRNA from 1 species